rnacentral:rRNA from 1 species
CUCGUCCUACGGGCGCAGCAGUGGGGGAUAUUGCACAAUGGGGGGAACCCUGAUGCAGCGACGCCGCGUGGGUGAAGGAGUGCUUCGGCAUGUAAAGCCCUAUCGGCAGGGAAGAAGCAAGACGGUACCUGACUAAGAAGCCCCGGCUAACUACGUGCCAGCAGCCGCGGCAAUACGUAGGGGGCGAGCGUUAUCCGGAUUCACUGGGUGUAAAGGGGGCGUAGACGGCCAAGCAAGCCAGGGGUGAAAGCCCGGGGCCCAACCCCCGGCCUGCCCUU